rnacentral:rRNA from 1 species
UUCGGGAAACCGGAGCUAAUACCGGAUAAUAUUUCGAACCGCAUGGUUCGAUAGUGAAAGAUGGCUCUGCUAUCACUUAUAGAUGGACCUGCGCCGUAUUAGCUAGUUGGUAAGGUAACGGCUUACCAAGGCAACGAUACGUAGCCGACCUGAGAGGGUGAUCGGCCACACUGGAACUGAGACACGGUCCAGACUCCUACGGGAGGCAGCAGUAGGGAAUCUUCCGCAAUGGGCGAAAGCCUGACGGAGCAACGCCGCGUGAGUGAUGAAGGUCUUCGGAUCGUAAAACUCUGUUAUUAGGGAAGAACAAACGUGUAAGUAACUGUGCACGUCUUGACGGUACCUAAUCAGAAAGCCACGGCUAACUACGUGCCAGCAGCC